rnacentral:rRNA from 1 species
AUUGAACGCUGGCGGCAGGCCUAACACAUGCAAGUCGAACGAGUGGCGGACGGGUGAGUAAUGUCUGUGAAACUGCCCGAUGGAGGUGGAUAACUACUGUACACGGUAGCUAAUACCGCAUACCAUCGGAUGUGCCCAGAUGGGAUUAGCUAGUAGGUGGGGUAACGGCUCACCUAGGCGACGAUCCCUAGCUGGUCUGAGAGGAUGACCAGCCACACUGGAACUGAGACACGGUCCAGACUCCUACGGGAGGCAGCAGUGGAGAAUAGUGCACAAUGGGCGCAAGCCUGAUGCAGCCAUGCCGCGUGUAUGAAGAAGGCCUGCGGGUUGUAAAGUACUUUCAGCGAGGAGGCGUUACUCGAAGAAGAAGCACCGGCUAACUCCGUGCCAGCAGCCGCGGUAAUAC